UGCCAGCAGCCGCGGUAAGACGGAGGGUGCAAACGUUGCUCGGAAUUACUGGGCAUAAAGCGCACGUAGGCGGCCCGUUAAGUCACGCGUGAAAGCCCCCGGCUCAACCGGGGAACUGCGCGUGAUACUGACGGGCUCGAGAACGGUAGGGGUGAGUGGAACUCCAGGUGGAGCGGUGAAAUGCGUAGAUAUCUGGAGGAACACCAGUGGCGAAAGCGGCUCACUGGACCGUUACUGACGCUGAGGUGCGAAAGCCAGGGGAGCGAACGGGAUUAGAUA
rnacentral:rRNA from 1 species